GAUGAACGCUAGCUACAGGCUUAACACAUGCAAGUCGAGGGGUAGCAGGGUAGCAAUACCGCUGACGACCGGCGCACGGGUGAGUAACACGUAUCCAACCAUCCCAUAACUCGGGGAUAGCCUUUCGAAAGCAAGAUUAAUACCGGAUGGUCCUUUUUCAAGGCAUCUUGAGAAAGUUAAAGAUUUAUUGGUUAUGGGUGGGGAUGCGGUCCAUUAGAGAGUUGGUGAGGUAACGGCUCACCAAGUCUUCGAUGGAUAGGGGUUCUGAGAGGAAGGUCCCCCACAUUGGUACUGAGACACGGACCAAACUCCUACGGGAGGCAGCAGUGAGGAAUAUUGGUCAAUGGUCGAGAGCCUGAACCAGCCAAGUAGCGUGAAGGAUGGAGGUCCUAUGGAUUGUAAACUUCUUUUAUAGUAGAAUAAAGUGAUCCACGUGUGGAUUUUUGUAUGUAUACUAUGAAUAAGGAUCGGCUAACUUCGUGCCAGCAGCCGCGGUAA
rnacentral:rRNA from 1 species